UGCAGUAAUGCUUGAGCAACAACCAUAUGAUAGAAGUGUCUUAUGACCAUCUUAUGACCCUUUUGUGUAAAGAUCAGGAGGUCUAAUGUCCAAGCUGUGGUUCUUACUGCUUGCCUUGCAUUUUGAAAUCAUCUCUGUCCAGUGCCUUAAGGUUACAUUAAGAUAAGAAGUUACUAAAGUUUAACUAACUUUGUUGAAAUUAAUCUUUUCUUCUGAGCAUGCUGCAAUUCUACCUUUGAGUGCGCACGUACUAACCCUGAUAAGUCACAUUAACCAAUAACUAGUUAAGUACAGCCUACAAGAUAAGACGUCACAAUUAGGAACUGGUACUGCAGCCAAUAAACUUCUAGUACGUCAAGACUGUUGAAUGUAAGCUAUAAAAAUGUGAUUCCAGGCCGGACUCAUCGUCGGCCCUGAUUUGAGCUCUCUGCUCCUCGGUCGAACUGUUUGCAAACAAUAAACCUGGAUGGACCCAGCCUGUAUGUGUGACUCUUUCCUUGAAGGGACUGAAGAGGAGGGGCCACUGCCUGCUGCACUGACACCCCUGGAGCUCAUGCGAGGGACAGCAGCACCAGGGACCACCCACAGGUCCUGUGCCAGAGACACAGAUGCAGUCCUGCUCCCUGAGACACCCCACCAGGAGCAGUGCGCACACGGUCCUCAGUACACACUGUACAAGUUACAGACUGUGUAGAUAAGUUCUCGAUGGUUUAUUACUUGGGGUAUCAAUGUAUUUAUGUAUUGUUUCUUUAUUUAUUGUGGGUAAUUUGUAUACCUUCCCCUAGUGUAAUGUGUAUCUAAAAAGCAUUAACCAUUAAGCCACCGUCACCAGGUCAUGUGGUGGAACAUUUGGUCUAUUGCAUUGGUUAUAUGCUACCUUGUAAAUAAUUAAAUCCUGUAAAUAGUUUUAUCAUGGUCUGCAAGGUUGUUUGAUUGUAAGGGGAGGCUCUCCACUCAGGGACCCUGCUACCCAAGGAGCUGAGUGGGGCCACUGGCUAUCGGGUACCCCAGGAUACCACUAUUCAGGUGAAGGCAUGGGUAGUGUCAUGCCCAGGGUUACAAAAUUAACAAAGCACUCCUUUGGCUGAAAAACCUACCAAUCUGUAGUGAAAAACUACAAACAACAGGAGGCCCUUACUGGAUUGAGGUUUACUUUAAUGAGAUGUGCAGUUGUCAUGGGAAGAUGGUGUGGCUCCACAUUCCGACAGAAUAAGCUCUUGUGGAAAGAAUUAGAUAGAUGAUCUAAAUCACUAGUUGUGACCUUGUUUGUUUUUUGAAGAAAUAAGAGGAAAAUGGAUUUCCAUUACUGGGAAAUUUUAACUACUGGACUAAUGAAGAAAAAACAAUCCAGCUUCUAUCUGGCAAUUAGGAGCCUGUCCUAGCUACUUAGGUGUAUUUGCACGACUUGCAUAAAGAAUAUGAGCUAAAAUUAAAUAGAAUUCUCCUGUUUUGUUUUAUUUUCCACUGCUUCAUUUUAUAUCAUCAUAUCCUAUGUUUUGUUUUAAUUUUGUGUGAAUUGGUCGAAUGUAUAAUCUUACUGUAUUGUUUUAGAAAAAAAUAUAAAUGACAUAAAUGCUGUUAUUUAAUUAUAGUAUAUUAGCUUAACUCAACACCAGCAGAUUCAAUAAGCAGUAUCACAUUUUUCUCUCUAUGCCAGUACCUGGUUUUCCUUCUUUUGCUAGGUGAAUAAUGCAUUUUUUGUGUAUUCAUAAGCUGGUGGUAUAUAGCCUUUUAUGAACAGGUAACUAAAUCCCUGGAUGAUGGUGCCACCAUGGACAUAGUCUUUCUGGACUUUAAGAAGGCCUUUGACACUGUCUCUCACCCUAUUCUCAUUAAUAAACUGAGCGACUGUGGCAUUGA